rnacentral:rRNA from 1 species
UACGGAGGGUGCAAGCGUUAUCCGGAUUCACUGGGUUUAAAGGGUGCGUAGGUGGGCAGGUAAGUCAGUGGUGAAAUCUCCGGGCUUAACCCGGAAACUGCCAUUGAUACUAUCUGUCUUGAAUACCGUGGAGGUGAGCGGAAUAUGUCAUGUAGCGGUGAAAUGCUUAGAUAUGACAUAGAACACCAAUUGCGAAGGCAGCUCACUACACGAAUAUUGACACUGAGGUGCGAAAGCGUGGGGAGCAAACAGG